rnacentral:rRNA from 1 species
GGGGGCAGACACAGGGAUUGCCUUAGUAACGGCGAGUGAAGCGGCAACAGCUCAAAUUUGAAAGCUGGCUCCUUUGGAGUCCGCGUUGUAAUUUGUAGAGGAUGAUUCGGCAAGGGCUCCCGCCUAAGUCUCCUGGAACGGAGCGUCAUAGAGGGUGAGAAUCCCGUAUGCGGUGGGCUGCCUAAGCCAUGUGAAUCUCCUUCGACGAGUCGAGUUGUUUGGGAAUGCAGCUCUAAAUGGGAGGUAAAUUUCUUCUAAAGCUAAAUACCGGCCAGAGACCGAUAGCGCACAAGUAGAGUGAUCGAAAGAUGAAAAGCACUUUGGAAAGAGAGUUAAAAAGUACGUGAAAUUGUUGAAAGGGAAGCGCUUGCAGCCAGACUUGUCCGCAGUUGCUCAGCCGGUCUCCUGACCGGUGUACUCUUCUGCGGCCAGGCCAGCAUCAGUUCGGGCGGUCGGAUAAAGACCUCGGGAAUGUAGCUCCUCUCGGGGAGUGUUAUAGCCCGGGGUGGAAUGCGGCCAGCCUGGACUGAGGAUCUCGCUUCGGCUAGGAUGCUGGCGUAAUGGCUGUAAGCGGCCCGUCUUGAAACACGGACCAAGGAGUCUAACAUCUAUGCGAGUGUUUGGGUGUCAAACCCAUGCGCGUAAUGAAAGUGAACGGAGGUGGGAACCCUCACGGGUGCACCAUCGACCGAUCCUGAUGUCUUCGGAUGGAUUUGAGUAAGAGCAUAGCUGUUGGGACCCGAAAGAUGGUGAACUAUGCCUGAAUAGGGUGAAGCCAGAGGAAACUCUGGUGGAGGCUCGCAGCGGUUCUGACGUGCAAAUCGAUCGUCAAAUUUGGGUAUAGGGGCGAAAGACUAAUCGAACCAUCUAGUAGCUGGUUCCUGCCGAG